UUAUAUGUUGUCACCUGACCUAUGGAGAAAAGGAAGGAGAUUAACUAAAAAGGAAUGCUGAUGUUCAAGAAAUCCACCGAAGGACAAUAUUUAAUCCAGUUUCGAGAGUCAACAUGCCUAAAACGAUAUAUGAUCAUGAAAGGAAUGUAUGGCUAGGUGAUCUCAACUAUAGGAUCAACUUACCAUAUGAGAAGACACACGAACUCAUAUCCAAGCAGGAUUGGAACGAAUUGUUUGGGAAAGACCAGCUGAAAGUAGAGCUGAAGAAGGGCAUCUGUUUGAAGGAUGGACCGAAGGGGUCAUCAACUUUCCUCCAACGUGUAAGUACAAGGUUAACUCAGAAAAGUACAUAAGUGAUGAUAACAAAUCUAGAAGGAGAACACCUGCAUGGUAUAUUUUUGUUCUAAACUUACACUAAUGUCUUAACAGUGCAUACACGAGUCAAGUCUUCUUGCAAAUAUAACAAAAGUAUUUAGUAAUCACAGUAUUAGAAAUUAAACGGUCAUUGGUUCCCUGCUGUUCAGCUUCACUACUUUAUUAAUUGAAAAACAUUCUAUUAGAUCCAACUGAAAUAAAACGACAGGCGGUUAAAAGUGUUAAUUCUCAAAUUCGGUGUGUUGCUUCCUUACUCAUACUUAUAUUAUGGUGUGUAACUCUGUACAAGAUUA